rnacentral:lncRNA from 10 species
GUUCACUCACAGACAGCAAACCAAGGGGUUGUGCUGUCUCCUUGUCUCCCAGGGAUAAACCCACAUGACAGUUUACAAAAACAGGUAAUCAUAAGAAGCAAAUGGCCCAGAUGAAACACAGCAAAAGAAUGAGAAGUGGUAACACUGGGAGUGAAAUUUGAACCAAGCGUAAAUGGAGUGAUCGUAGAAAUAGCUGACUGUGGAAUGUGGACACUCUCUGUAUCUGCAGCCUGGGAAGCUUAAAGAAGGUGAACUUACUGACACCAGUUAGAAAGUGACUGUGAUGAAACGAUGAAGAUGCUCCAGAGGAAGUGACACCAGCAAUAGGAAAAAAAAAACAAACCUCUCACUGAAGGAACUCUCGGAGAUAUUUCAUGACACAGAAGGCACAAAGGAUACAAUAUUGGCAACUAAUCGAAACUUAGAAAUGAUAUGACAGCUCACCAAGGCAUAGAAAAAGAUGCUUGCUCUAUCAUAAGUUAUAGAAUGAGAAGAAGAGACGGAGUCUCACUGUGUCGCCCAGGCUGGAGUACAGUGGCAUGAUCUCGGCUCACUGCAACCUCCACCUCCCGGGUUCAAGUGAUUCUCCUGCCUCAGCCUCCCACGUAGCUGGGAUUACAGGUACAUGCUGCCACGUCCGGCUAAUGUUUUGUAUUUUUAGUAGAGACAGAAUGGUCUCGAUCUCCUGACCUUGUGAUUCACCUGCCUCGGCCUCCCAAAGUGCUGGGAUUACCAGCAUGAGCCACCACACCCAGCCUGCAAUUUAUUUUUUAAUAGAUAUCCAUCCUAGCGUUUUCCAGGACCUGAAAGCUUUCAUGAAAAAAUAAAUGUAUUAAAUAUCUUCUAUGUUUGAGGAGCUGUAAUAGAUUUGGGGAAUAUAGAAAUGUUGCAAAUGCUUAAUUUUCAGUCUAGUAUCCUGUAAAAUGUUGUGUUUCUGGUAAUGCUUGGGAGAUUUUAUCAUUUUGGAAAUGCUUUUGCUUAAUUAGAUUCGCUAGUGUUCUAGGAGCCAAGGAUUCACAGACUGCACUUUUAAAGGGAUGAUAUUUUCACAUUUCCUUAGUACAGUUCUUUUAGUAACAAUAUUUAUAUAAAAAUUAUUAUGACGUGUGAGUCAUAAUAUUUGUUUUAAUUCUCAAAUUACCUGGUAACCACUGUUAAUAGUUUGGUAUAUAAACACUAAGAGAGCCAGUAAGUAAUUUGUUGUAUUUACAUUUGUACUUUUCUCUGUGCUAUUACACACACUUACACACACACACACAUACACAUCUCACAUGUACAUAAAUAGGUUAAAAUUUAUAUCCUUUCUUCCAAGGAAAAUGAGAUUAUCCUAUAGACAGGUGUCUGAAACUUGCUUAUUCACCUGUGAGUACAUCACAAGUAUCUCUUCAAAUUAAUACAUGAAUAUCUAACUCACUAUUUUUAAUAGCUGCAAAAUAUUUCUCAGUAUGGGAAGAGCAUAAUUUAUUCAAUGAUCUCGCUACUGAUGGACAUUCACAUUUAAAUUUUGUCUGUUUUUUUUUAACCCCUAUAAACGAAACUACAAUAAACAUUCAUGUGUGCACACACAUACAUGGUAUAUUUUUGUGGAUAGCCUCUGUAGCUGACUCUUCAACAUCCACUCCCAGAUAAACAGUCAAAGCCAAGGAUAAUUCUAUCCCUUUGUUAACGAUUGGUGAUAAAUGGACAAAUGUCCAUGAUAAAUGGACCCAGUUCUGGACAGUGAAUGUGAGGGGAAGUUGAUCAUGGAAGUUGUGAGAUAUGAUUCAUAAAACUGCUUCAAGGCCGGGCGCGGUGGCUCACGCCUGUAAUCUCAGCGCUUUGGGAGGCCAAGGUGGGCAGAUCACGAGGUCAGGAGAUCAAGAACAUCCUGGCUAACACGGUGAAGCCAGUCUCUACUAAAAUUACAAAAAAUUAGCUGGGUGUGAUGGCCCAUGCCUGUAAUCUCAGCUACUUGGGAGGCUGAGGCAGGAGAAUAGCUUGAACCUGGAGGCAGAGGUUGCAGUGAACCAAGAUCGCGCCACUGCACUCCACUCCAACCUGGGCAACAGAGCAAGACUCUGUCUCAAAACAAAACAAAACAAAAAAAAACACCUGCUUCAAACACCAUGUUCCAACUCAAAGAUAAAAAUGACAAGGAGGGUAAAGAAAAGAGAAAGAGCCGGGAUACUCAAUGACAUUUUGGCACACUGAAUUAACCAACCUUAGCGUCUACUCUGUUUUCUGGGCUUCCUUUCAGGUGAGAGAUACAUUUCUUACUAUUUAAGCCAAUUUAGUUUUUCUGUUUGUUAUAGCAAAGAACACAUCCUAUCAGACAUACCUCAUGUAUAGUUUUAUUUCUGUGACAAAAAUUUCCAAAAGAGGGUUUGCUGUAUUUUUACUGUAUUUGAGUCUGACAGAUUACAAUCCAAAAAUACUGUAACAAUGCAUACUUCUAUCAGCAAUGGUAUAUAGGAAUGCCUAUUUUCCCCAUACUUUCACAAGGAAAGGAAAGUAUCAACUAUAUGAAUUGUAAUUCAGUUUCAAGUAAUAGGUAACUAACCCAAAGGGGCUUAAAUUUAAAAGGGAGGUUAUUUGGCUCAUAUAACUGAACAGUCCAAGAGUAGAUGUGUAUUCAGAUAGGGCUUGGUUCACAAUAUAUGUGAAUCAAUCCAUGGAACAGAAGAAUUAAUGCAGGACAAGGAAAAAGAAAUAUAUAAAUAUAUAAAAAUAUAUAUAAUAUAAAAUAUAUAAAUAUAUAAAUAUAUAUGUGCACAUGUGACACCACUAUUUUAAAUUUUUCCCAAUAUAUGAAAAAUAUGGCAUUUUACUAGCAUUUUUCUAAGCAAAGUUAGUCGAAGUGAGAUUUGAAUACAAAUCAAAUGACUCAGAAAUUCUUUUACCUAUACCCUGUAUUAUAUCCUUCACAUCAGCUCCAUUUGAAAUCCUGAACUAUAGAAAGCCAUGAAAGAAAUAAAAUACUGUCUAGCAGUUCUAUGAAGAUUACAAAAGAUUUAGAAAUUCUGCCUGGGAAAACUUAGUGAUAUGCUAAAUUUUUACAGCCUAUAAAAUAAUGUAUCUUCUCAAGAACAAUUAAGGGUUUAAUUGUUGCCUUUUGUUGAGGAAGAAUCAUGGAAAGAUAUUGAGUAGCAGGCAGAGGAAAGGAAUCAAAUUAGAGCCAGAAGGAAUCAGUUUAGUCACAAAAAUUCUGUUUCUCAACAGAAAAGGUCCCACACAGGGCUGGGUGUAGUAGGUCUGUGUUGCUUGUCUGCCCUGCACCCUCCUCCGGUUCACAUGGUCCUGAUGGAAUUGUGAAAGAUUGCCUCAUCAUCCUCAACUCGAGAGCCAUCAUGUGACCCAGGCCAACCAAUCAAUAUGCCCCAUCCCUCUGGUCAUAGUGAAUGGUUCUAAGAUGGGCAUGUGACAUAAGUGGAGCCCAUUAGAAUCCUCCUUAGGACUUUUCUGCCAGAGUAAUUAGAAGAGAAUAUCUCUUUUCCAUUGGGGUUGAUAGCCUGUCAUCUUCAUGAAGCCAGCUGUAGCCCUGAAUUUCCAAUUCGUGUGGUCAACAAAUUUCUUAUUUUGCCAGGGUUGCUUUGUUCAGUUUUCUGUUCUCCAACAAAAUGUUUUUAAGCAAUAUUGUGGGUCACUCACAAGUCUGUUGUUGCUCCUUCUUCUGAGGCUAUUAAUAUGAGAGAACUUAUGUGCAGAAGGAGGAUGGUCAAAUGACACCUCUAGAGGUUGGUUGCAUCUCAUCAGGGAUCUGUCUGAUGGUGGAUGUAAUGGAAAUAAAAGAGAAUGCAGGGCUGGUGUGAUUCUCACUUCAAAUUCCCAGAAACUCAUUCAUUGACCCCACAUUCUUUAAAUACGAUUUCAGAACUCAUAGGUGAGACAUAUUUAAGUGAUUUACAAUACAUAAUGAAUAAAGCUAUAAUCUUUUUUUCCUUUGAGAAAAAAAAGAAAAGAAAAGUUGAUUCCUAUUUACAAUUAUUCACACAAACCAGAUUCUGGACCAAGUGUCAACUGCUGUGUGAUUAGCCAAAAGAGUACUUCUUAAACAGUCCUUUCUAAAACUCAGCUAGUCAAGCCAAUUUAUCCAUCAGGAUGUGAGUUGGAAGCCAGGCUAUGAUGGUUAGAACCAUAGCCAAAUUAAAGCCUUUCUGAGAGCCUUUGUAACUUGGGGUUUGAAGGGAACAGAAGGAGCUGAACUGAGCUCUAACCCGAAGGUGUUUAGAUUCUAUGGAGAAGGAGAAUAACGUCAGACUAUGAUAAGAAUGGCCACCAUUUGUGGAGCUGCUUCUACAGGCUAGGUACACUGCACGUUUUAUCCCAUUUAAUCCUCACAACGAUUUUGUAAAGGAGGCAUAGUUAACCCAUGAGUAUUCACAUGGGGAAACUGAGGCUCACAGAAAUCAAGGUUUGUCCAGAGUUACAUAACUGGUACAUGAAGGAUCUAGGCGUCAUGUUCAGUUCUAGCUUGUCCAAGGUCUGUGCUUUGGGUCUCUUCCCUAAACUCCAUGUUUUUCUCACAGCGUUAUGUGGCCAUCUACAGCUGAGUUUAUUAAGUUUUGACUUAAGGCAUUCCUUCCGGAACUAGAUUUCUAGCCAAGACCUCUGAAGGAAUCAGAUUGCAUCCACAGUUACUACAGUAUUUCUUGGUCUUCUCUUCCAGAAGGGUGUUCUUCUAGAGGAACUGUUUACUGACUUGAAAUGCUGUUAUAAAAUCUCAGUUCAAAGGUUGUGUAUCUCCCAGGAAACAAAUGGCUUUUUUAUUCUUCGCCACUAGCUUAACACUGCAUUAUAGCUGCUCAUAACAAGUCAUGGUAUGCUAAUUUAUGAGUCACAUGACACAGUCAAUUCAUAUUAUAGACAUUGCCCUGAUUAUAUGUCUCCUUAACUGAAAUGUUUACAUAGUUGUGAUGGAAUCAAUUUUAUUAAUUUUACAGCAUUCACAGGUUUCUCCUCUUCCCAAGACUGCCAGAGAGAUCCUGUAAUUACCUGCCCGGUUUUUCUUCUUAGGAGACAUGAGAAAAGAAUAGAAUUCCUCCAAUUAUUUUCUGCUUGUUUGUGCCUCUGUAAAUUUGACUCUUCUCAGAGAUGAAACCACCUGGGACACAGCUUCUUUAGAGUUGCACAGUGACACCUGCAAAUAGUUAGCAGUGCACCAGGUACAGAAGCACACACACCUGGUGGCAGGGCAAGAUGGGGUGAUUCCUGGAGCCAGAUCAUCCCUGAUGUGUUCCUUGCAGUGUUAUCAGGGGGAUUACAGGAAAUAACAUACACAAAAAACUGUUUCUUAACUGCAAAGCACUGUGCAAACGUGAGCUGUUAAGCCAGGUGGUGUGUGCAAUGGAGAUCACCUUUUGCCGGGGGGUAAUCAUUUCAGUUUACAUAACACUUAUCACUCCAGGAGCCCCAAGCCCUUGUGAAUAUUAUCCUGAGAAAUAUCACUUGAAAUGAAAUGCGCAUGCAUAAACAGAGUCUAGCAAAUGGAGGCACCAAUUAUGAUGACAAUGACGAAGGUCUUAAAUGAGAACAUAAACAUUUUGACAUGUCAGCUCCCAAGGAUGUUGCCACUGUAGUCACAACACCUUCUGAGGGAAAAUCAAUUCUCAACGUUAAUGUUUCCCAUGAGUGUUGACUCCUCGGGGGAUGGGGGAGGAAGAGGGAAACAAAAGUGGAAAAACAUUUUAAAAUAUGAAUUUUAUUUUCCAUAGCAGUAUAUCAGAAAACUCAAAUAUAACUCCACAACUUUUUCAAGAGUUUCUUUUUGUUUUCCAAUGGUAACGGGAGAGAAAAUAAGCUGUCAUUAUCGGAAUGAUCAAACACAGAGAGAAAAGAGGCAGAGGUGAGAAGAUGGAGAAGAUGAAUACAUUUGCUUUCAGCAAACCAAUGGAAGUCCAUUUGCAUGAUCUGAAAAGGAAAAUGAGAAGCUAAUUUUUCUAUACAAGGCAGAAUUUAAGAAAUACAAUUCCUAAGGACUCCAGUGGAUACAGCUCUGGUUCCUGGACUUCGUGUUUUGGCUUGGUCUUUCUGCUUUUUCAAUUUUGUCACUGGUAAGACUGGCCCCACCUCACCCAUGAGGAGCACAUUUUCAAGGUUAAAAUGCUGAGUUAAUUAGAGAAAGUGGUGUUAUUAACUGAAUGGCAAUAGAGAAGCAGCAGCAAUUGAGGGAAAGGAGAUGAUAAGUUGUUUUGGGGCAUGGUGAAUUUGAGAUAUCUUGCAGAACAUUCAGAUCAAGGUUCUUAUGACCCCUGAAGUUGUCACGUGUUAACCAGAAAACAGAUCUGCCAGGUGCGGUGGUUCACACCUGUAAUCCCAACACAUUGGGAGGUCGAGGCGGGAAGAUCACUUGAGGCCAGAAGUUCAAGACCAGCCUGGCCAACAUGGCAAAACCUUGUCUCUACUAAAAAUGCAAAAAAUUAGCCUGGUGUGGUGGCAGGUGCCUGUAAUCCCAGCUACUUGGGAGGCUGAGGCAUGAUAAUCAUUUGAACCUGGGAGGCAAAGGUUGCAGUGAGCCAAGAUUGCACCACUGCUCUCCAGCCUGGGCAACAGAGUAAGAGUCUGCCUCAAAAAAUAAAAUAAAAUAAAAUAAAAUAAAAUAAAAUAAAAUAAAAUAAAAUAAAAUAAAGGAAAAGAAAACUGGGAUCUGAGCUAGGGCAUCAAUCAAGUUUAGUCUGGUAGAUUUGAUUAGAGGAUAAAAUUAAAGUCUUAAUCUUUUAUAAAACCAUCAAGGGAUAAGGUAAAGAGUUUUUUCUAAAAAAAAAAAAAAAAAAGGCUGUUUCAGUCAGGCCACAGCUAGAUUAUGCUACAGUAACAAACAACCCCAAAAUCUCAGUGACUUAAUACAUGACAGUUUUAUUUCUCAUCCAUUCUUUAUGUCAAGAGCUGACUAUGAGUUCUGCUCAGCAUCAUCUCGCCCUGGGAUUUGAGCUGAUGAGCAAACCACCCACCUGGAACAUUGCUAGUUUCUACAGCAGAAAAAAAGGAGGAUCUCACGCUGGCAAUUAGAUAUUCUAGCCCAGAUAUGACAGACAUUAUCUUGCUCAUAUAUCAAAGGCCAGGAGUCAUCACAUAGCCCCACUCAACCACCAAGGAGGCAGGAAAUAUCAUCCAACCAUGAGUCUGGAAAAAGGCGUGCUGCCAUCAGUGAGCCAUGUUAAUAACUACUUUAAGGCCCAGGGCAGAAUUCGUAUAAACAUGCUGCUUCAGAGAUGUAAGAACUAAGAGUUAGCAUAGAAAGAAGUUAAUGAAAGAACCAUCAGACAUAGGAGGAGGACCAAAAAAGCAAGAGUCAUGGAUGACCAGGAGGAAGAAGAGACAGUGAAGAAAGAUGCAAGUGAUCAAUGCAGUAGUUUCUGAUAGGAAGGUGCACCAUGCACAGUUAAGACAGACAGAUUUAAGAAGGCCAACCAGCUGUCUCACAAGGGGAGCUUCAAAAUGGCACUCAUCUCCUUGAUGGAUUUCUCAGGAUCGCAGUUUCCUUGCCUCAGCCCAACCCUAACACCACAUCUAACCUUAGUUAUUAUGAUGCACACGUGGGGUUGCCUGUUGCCACUGAACAUUCUAAAUGUCUAAUCCAAACUCUCUUGCUCUGGUGUCAUUCUUAUUAAGCAAACUACUGUUUAUGGUUUGGCUUCCCUUGAAUAUCUAUCUUCGGUAAGAGAAAAUGUUAGUCAUACAGACUUAGAGCAUUUCAGACCACAUGACAACUCCACUAUUAAUUGGAUUCCAGAGAGGCUUUCAAAGGAAGUCGUGGAAUCUUCUGUGGCAAUAACAACCAUUCACAUUCACUCCCGGAGAUGUAGACUUUCUUGUGGCCUUACAGAUUGAUCACAGCCAUCAAAGGAGGAAUGAACACGUUUCCUGAGGCACUCUAUUUACAUACUCAGGGUUUUUCAUCAAUCAUGUAAAAGAGAGUUACAUUUUCAGGUCAAAGUGACUCAUCAAGCCAGAGGGGUGAGUCAUGGAAGACAUAUGACGCUUUCCAGUUUAACCUGCUGUGCGACUAUGAACACCUGUAACAGUCAUCUUGCCAUAAAUCUCUCCCUGACCUUUCUGUGACAAGAGAAACUGCUACCAAAUCCUGAAUCCUACCUGUAUAGUAAGAAAUGAUUUCAGUGUUUAUUGCAGAAAUCUUCUAUUUGGAGAAUUUAAAUUUAAAUCAAAUUCAGAGGCAAAUUCAUAUCUUACUUUAGAAGUAAAGCAAAUCAUUGGAAAAAGCACUGGGGGAGAGAGAUUGAGAUAGAGAAAGAGAGAGAUUCUCUUUCAAUCAGCAAUUCUGUGUCUAUUAGUUUUUCUUGAAAUAAGCAAGUCUUGAAAGAUGUAUGUACUGGGUGUUUAUUGCAGUAGAUUGAAUAUUACGAAAAUAUUGAAAAUUAUCCAAAAAUCUAAGGCUAUGAAACUUAAUUAUGGAAUAUUCAUACAAUGAAAUAUUAUGAAGUCUUGAAGAAUGAUAGGAAAUUGUGAUAUAUUGUUUUAAAAGUUGUAUCUUCAAUAAAUAGUGAAAAGAGGAAGAUAUCAGAAAAACCUACAGAUUAAAAGAGACUUAUGAAACUUUUUUUUU